ACCUGGGUGGCUCAGUUGGUUAAGCAUCUGACUUCAGCUCAGGUCAGGAUCUCAUGGCUCAUGGGUUCGAGCCCCAUGUUGGGCU
rnacentral:tRNA from 1 species